AGAGGAUGUGAAGUGGUUUGCGGAGAGCGUUGUCAAGGUUGAGAGUGAGCUUCGUGAGGUCUGGAAGGCAGCAGUCCAGAGGUGGAGAUCUCGUGUC
rnacentral:SRP_RNA from 10 species